ensembl:snoRNA
GUGAGGUGAUGACACAGUUUAUCCAUUCUCUGAGUGCAGUGGAGCUGCCCUCCUGCAGCACCCCAGCUCCUGUUCUAGGGUCUGGGUGCUGUGCAGCCUCCAGACAUCCUCUGGCUGCCUGCAGGAGGGGAGCAGUGCUGGCAGGGUUGGAGCCCCUCUUUGGGGGCUCCAGCCUCACUAGGACGAGGCAUGGUGUCUGAUCAC